ACUACGGGCGGCAGCAGUGGGGGAUAUUGCACAAUGGGGGGAACCCUGAUGCAGCGACGCCGCGUGGGUGAAGAAGCGCCUCGGCGCGUAAAGCCCUGUCAGCAGGGAAGAAAAUGACGGUACCUGAAGAAGAAGCCCCGGCUAACUACGUGCCAGCAGCCGCGGUAAUACGUAGGGGGCAAGCGUUAUCCGGAUUUACUGGGUGUAAAGGGGGCGCAGCCGGCGAUGCAAGCCAGGAGUGAAAGCCCGGGGCCCAACCCCGGGACUGCUCUUGGAACUGCGUGGCUGGAGUGCAGGAGGGGCAGGCGGAAUUCCUGGUGUAGCGGUGAAAUGCGUAGAUAUCAGGAGGAACACCGGUGGCGAAGGCGGCCUGCUGGACUGCAACUGACGUUGAGGCCCGAAAGCGUGGGGAGCAAACAGGAUUAGAUACCCCUGUAGUC
rnacentral:rRNA from 1 species